GUCCACGCCGUAAACGAUGGAUGCUAGCCGUUGGCGGGUUUACUCGUCAGUGGCGCAGCUAACGCAUUAAGCAUCCCGCCUGGGGAGUACGGUCGCAAGAUUAAAACUCAAAGGAAUUGACGGGGGCCCCGCACAAGCGGUGGAGCAUGUGGUUCAAUUCGAAGCAACGCGCAGAACCUUACCAGCCCUUGACAUGCCACGACGGUUUCCAGAGAUGGAUUCCUCCCCGCAAGGGGCGUGGACACAGGUGCUGCAUGGCUGUCGU
rnacentral:rRNA from 1 species